GGUAGGAUGGCCGAGGCUUAGGCGGUGGAUUGUAAACCCAUGCACAGAGGUUAAAGUCCUCUUUCUACCA
rnacentral:tRNA from 1 species